rnacentral:rRNA from 1 species
UACGUAGGGGGCAAGCGUUGUCCGGAUUUAUUGGGCGUAAAGAGCGUGUAGGCGGCCUGAAAGGUCAGCUGUGAAAACUCGAGGCUCAACCUCGAGACGUCGGUUGAAACCAUCUAGCUAGAGUCCGGAAGAGGAGUGUGGAAUUCCCGGUGUAGCGGUGAAAUGCGCAGAUAUCGGGAAGAACACCCGUGGCGAAGGCGGGCACUCUGGGACGGUACUGGCACGCUGAGACGCGAAAGCGUGGGGAGCGAACAGG